rnacentral:misc_RNA from 1 species
UUGUAGAUGGGAACGAAAUAUUCAUUCAUUCACAAGCCACUCCAAGAGAGGAGUUAACAAACAAAUAGAAUACAAAGAGAGUAACAAAGGCCUGUUUCUUUUAGAUUUCAGAAACUUUGGCCAUAUUCCCGACCACUUACAUGGAGAAUCAGAAUACUUUAGGUUAAAAAAAGAACCAAGUCCAAACUUCCCACUAGAAUAGGUCACAUCACUAACCCAACCUAACAGUAAAAAGGGUGUACAAAGGAGGGGAGGCAUUACCAGGUUGAAUGAUACAGAGGGGGAGGAUUAAUAUAUAUAUAUAUAUGAGGUGAAAUAGAUUUUCCUCUUUAUGGGCAAUUGGAGUUUCUGCCAGGGCCCCCAUAAUAAAAGUAAUGGCCCCAGUCACCAUUGCUACCAGUUUGAACAUCAUAGCAAUUAGAUUGCUCAGUGAAGGUGCCAAUUCCUUUAGGUGCCUUGAGAUUAUUGGAACCAUCAACAACUUGAAUAUUCCUGAAGUAACUUGCUUUCCCAAACCCUUCUUCAGGGAAAUGUCCACUGCCCAUCUGAGUUGAGGUGUGUUGACCAUUUGGCACUGAGUUCACCACCUCACCUCCCCACUCAAUCAUGGAAGCACUGUCUGUUAAGUAUGAGAAUAGGAAAGAUGGCCAAUAACCCAACACAUAGUCAUUACCAAAUUGCAUCCACCAGUGUCCCUCUUUUGGAUCCUACAAGAAUUCCCAAAUAAUAAAAUUAAGAUACAUGAACAAGCAACAAUACAGAGAUGCAGAAGUAAACUAAGAAGCACCCAUAUAGAGAAUGUAAGUAAAAAUCUGUAACUACAGUGUUUAUCUCUUGAUUAAUAUUCUCUUUUCAUUUUCUAUUUAACCCUUCAGUAAAUGUCCAAGUCACUGAUCCAAAGAUAAUGAAAAAGAUUCUUAGCAUCUGCAAUCACAAUGAUGUUUCUGACACCCUCCCUCUAUUAUAUAAGAAAGUAACAUUUAUCUUCUCAUGUAAUGCCAAAUAUACAUUUUAUCUUGCCACUUGAAGCUCCAUUUACAGGACAAAAUCCUUCAAAGUUCACAUGCACCAUAUUGUACGAUUUAACCUAGAGCUGAAUGAAGGCCUUGGCAUUUACCUUCCAGACAAGAAUACUGAUAUCAUAUUGGGAAUUGCGGUAGCCAGAAACAGGAGAGAUGCUUGCACCCAUUGCUAUCUCACUGUUGAUCUGAAUAAAGCCUGAACAAAGGAGAUUGUAGCAUCCUGUGGCUUGAUAUGCAUCACUCUGUAAUAUUAUCACAAAUGAAACGUUGUGAGCAAAACCCAUUAAUAAUUUCACUAAAUUUUUUGAGGGAAUUCCAAGAGUGACCAAGUUGGAAGUUUACAGUCCAGUAUGUGAAAAGCCUUGUGUUGUUGUCACCAUAUAGAUCUGGACUGACCUGUUUCCAUCCACAUGAAAGUAUUAAAGUGAAGGGCAAGGUAUAUAAUGAUAUGUUAUUAUUUAUUUCAAUUAUUUCUGGUCAAUACAGAAUUAAAACAAAAAACUACAAUAAUACCUGCCAGCCAGCUUCAAUACUGUUGAGAUCUUCACCAAAUGAACCUCCCAAUAUCCAUAGCUGAGACAAGCUGAAUUCAUUAGGCUGUUGUAUUUUGGGUUCCCACACAUUAAUGGUUGCUUUUGCUCCAUAAUACUUGUCCCCUUCUACAUAAGCUAUUGCAUGCUGGUGGCCACUUUCAUUAGUGAGAUCAGGAUCUGCAGACCUUGGCUUGGGGAUGCUUCUGUGCUUCUUCCUGCCAUACCUUUUCACUGAGCUUGCACGCAAAACAUCAUCCUUAGUUGUUCUUCUAAUGGGUAUGGUACCCUCAGGGCAUUUACCAUUCAUGUGCCACAACUGAGUGAUUGGAUUUGUUCUUUCUUUUGAUUCUGUGGCCACCUUAUUCUCAUCAAAGAGCCCUUCUGGGUGGUAACUAGGCCUCAUCUGAAUCUUGUGGUCUUUGAGGAAUGGAUGAUCAAAAGCGGGCUGAUGAGCCAUGUGAACACAGUCUAUUAUAUCCCCAUCUGGACUCUCAAUGCUCUUAACAGCUGGCUUGUUCAAGCGAUUCAAGUGUUUUUGCACCUCAAGUUUCUGUCUUUCGACACUUAAUCUAGCGGCGCGUGUUAAUGACAACAGACCCAAUAAGCAAAAAAACACCGUCAAUCCUCUGCCUCUGCUAAAAUGCGCACCACCACCGCCACCACCCAUCUUUAGUCAAACCCACCAAAGAACCAAGAAUGUCCAAAUUAAGCAGCUCUCGCUUAUCGUUCGAGCCUGGUGGAUGUUAGAGCUUAAUCACAACCAAUAUUUACCAAGCGCACACAAAGAAAGGAAGAAACAGAAAGAGAAAGAGCGCUUAAAAGGCUCAAGCUUUUCUCUUUUCUGCUUAUCCUACGCACCCCUAGAGCUCAACUUUGAAGUGGGUCUGGUUCUGUUCACUCAAAAAAACACUAUGCCCACCACCAUCAUUCCCCUCUCUCUCU